rnacentral:rRNA from 1 species
GCCGCGGUAAUUCCAGCUCCAAUAGCGUAUAUUAAUGUUGCUGCAGUUAAAAAGCUCGUAGUUGGAUUUCUGACUUGGCGCACCUGGCCCGCCACGGUUACGUGUGUGAGUGCCGGGAUGCGCCUGUCACUUUUCUAGUAAACUAUUGUGCUCUUCAUUGAGUGUGAUAGGUAGCUAGAUAAUUUACUUUGAAAAAAUUAGAGUGUUUAAAGCAGGCGUUUGCUAUGAAUACAUUAGCAUGGAAUAAUAACUUAGGACUUCGGUUCUAUUUUGUUGGUUUCUAGGACUGAAGUAAUGAUUGAUAGGGAUAGUUGGGGGUGCUAGUAUUCAGCGGCCAGAGGUGAAAUUCUCGGAUUCGCUGAAGACUAACUUAUGCGAAAGCAUUCACCAAGGAUGUCUUCUUUAAUCAAGAACGAAAGUUGGGGGAUCGAAGACGAUCAGAUACCGUCGUAGUCUCAACCGUAAACUAUGCCGACUAGGGAUGAGUGAACGUUGCAUAAUCGACUUCAUUCGCACCUUAUGAGAAGUCAAAGUCCUUGGGUUCCGGGGGGAGUAUGGUCGCAAGGCUGAAACUUAAAGGAAUUGACGGAAGGGCACCACCAGGAGUGGAGCCUGCGGCUUAAUUUGACACAACACGGGGAAACUUACCAGGUCCAGACUCAGUGAGGAUUGACAGAUUGAAGAUCUUUCUUGAUUUUGAGGGUGGUGGUGCAUGGCCGUUCUUAGUUGGUGGAGCGAUUUGUCUGGUUUAUUCCGUUAACGAACGAGACCACGACCUGCUAAAUAGUUCAAGUUAGGGUUCGCUCUAGCUGUUGUGACUUCUUAGAGGGACUAUCGGUGUGUAGCCGAUGGAAGUUCGUGGCAAUAACAGGUCUGUGAUGCCCUUCGAUGUUCUGGGCCGCACGCGCGCUACACUGAUGCAUUCAUCGAGCUACAACCUUGUCUGAGAGGACUGGGUAAUCUUUGAAAAUGCAUCGUGCUGGGGAUAGAUUAUUGUAAUUAUUAAUCUUCAACGAGGAAUUCCCAGUAAACGCGUGUCAUCAACACGCAUUGAUUACGUCCCUGCCCUUUGUACACACCGCCCGUCGCUACUACCGAUUGAAUGAAUUAGUGAGCUCCAGAGAUCGAGCUGUUUCGGGCAACCGGGGCUGUUUGAGAACUGGAUCAAACUUGCUCAUUUAGAGGAAGUAAAAGUCGUA